rnacentral:rRNA from 1 species
GCAGUGAACUGAAACAUCUAAGUAGCUGCAGGAAGAGAAAGCAAACGCGAUUGCCUUAGUAGCGGCGAGCGAAACGGCAGGAGGGCAAACCGAGAAGUUUACUUCUCGGGGUUGUAGGACUGCGACGUGGGACUUUAAAAGGAUAGAAGAAUUACCUGGGAAGGUAAGCCAAAGAGAGUAAUAGCCUCGUAUUUAAAAUUCUUUUGAGCCCUAGCAGUAUCCUGAGUACGGCGAGACACGCGAAAUCUCGUCGGAAUCUGGGAGGACCAUCUCCCAACCCUAAAUACUCUCUAGUGACCGAUAGUGAACCAGUACCGUGAGGGAAAGGUGAAAAGCACCCCGGGAGGGGAGUGAAAUAGAACCUGAAACCGUGUGCCUACAACAAGUUCGAGCCCGUUAAUGGGUGAGAGCGUGCCUUUUGUAGAAUGAACCGGCGAGUUACGAUAUGAUGCGAGGUUAAGUUGAAGAGACGGAGCCGCAGGGAAACCGAGUCUUAAUAGGGCGACUUAGUAUCAUGUUGUAGACCCGAAACCAUGUGACCUACCCAUGAGCAGGUUGAAGGUGCGGUAAGACGCACUGGAGGACCGAACCAGGGCACGUUGAAAAGUGCUUGGAUGACUUGUGGGUAGCGGAGAAAUUCCAAACGAACUUGGAGAUAGCUGGUUCUCUCCGAAAUAGCUUUAGGGCUAGCGUCGAUGUUAAGUCUCUUGGAGGUAGAGCACUGUUUGGGUGAGGGGUCCAUCUCGGAUUACCAAUCUCAGAUAAACUCCGAAUGCCAACGAGAUAUAAUCGGCAGUCAGACUGCGAGUGCUAAGAUCCGUAGUCGAAAGGGAAACAGCCCAGACCACCAGCUAAGGUCCCAAAAUAUAUGUUAAGUGGAAAAGGAUGUGGGGUUGCACAGACAACUAGGAUGUUAGCUUAGAAGCAGCUAUUCAUUCAAAGAGUGCGUAAUAGCUCACUAGUCGAGUGACCCUGCGCCGAAAAUGUACCGGGGCUAAAACAUAUUACCGAAGCUGUGGAUGACACGUUAGUGUCAUGGUAGGAGAGCGUUCUAUGUGUGAAGAAGGUGUACCGUGAGGAGCGCUGGAACGCAUAGAAGUGAGAAUGCCGGUAUGAGUAGCGAAAGACAGGUGAGAAUCCUGUCCACCGUAAGACUAAGGUUUCCAGGGGAAGGCUCGUCCGCCCUGGGUUAGUCGGGACCUAAGGAGAGACCGAAAGGUGUAUCCGAUGGCCAACAGGUUGAUAUUCCUGUACUAGAGUAUAAAGUGAUGGAGGGACGCAGUAGGCUAACUAAAGCAGGCGAUUGGAAGAGCCUGUCUAAUCAGUGAGGUGUAAGAUGAGUCAAAUGCUUAUCUUUAUAACAUUGAGCUGUGAUGGGGAGCGAAGUUAAGUAGCGAAGUUAGUGAUGUCACACUGCCAAG